UACAGAGGGGGCAAGCGUUGUUCGGAAUUACUGGGCGUAAAGGGCGCGCAGGCGGCCUGCUAAGUCGAACGUGAAAUCCCUGGGCUCAACCCAGGAACUGCGUCCGAUACUGGUUGGCUUGAAUCCGGGAGAGGGACGUGGAAUUCCAGGUGUAGCGGUGAAAUGCGUAGAUAUCUGGAGGAACACCGGUGGCGAAGGCGGCAUCCUGGACCGGUAUUGACGCUGAGGAGCGAAAGCCAGGGGAGGAAACGGG
rnacentral:rRNA from 1 species